rnacentral:lncRNA from 1 species
AUGAAAGAAUCACUAUUGAAAAAAUUUGCUCCUAAGAUUAUGUUAGAUAGUAGAUAUCUAUCCUACAUAAUAAAAGACAUACUAGGGUGUCACAUGGCAUUUAUCUAGGGUUCUUAUGCCACAUGGCUUUUUUUAGCCUACACAAUUCCACGUGGCAAUUUCCUAGCAAUAGUAGCACGGGACGCGGGAUCCGAAUUUGGAUGAAUCGAACCAUUUCAAUUUCGGGUCCCUUUAUAUUCUUUUUUUCUCACUCUUCUUUCUCACACCAUUAGGGUUUCACCUCAUUCUCUCUGGCAUUCUUCUCUGCUGAACAUCAAGAUCUUCAGAUUAAUUCUUUUUUCUUCUUUAUUCAAUCGAUCAAUCGAUUGAACUGAAAUCAUUCGCUAGGGUUCAAGAAUCUUUAUCUGAUUACCCAAGAAUCUUCAUUGGUCUCUCCCAAUUUCAACAAGUUACCCCUUUUCUCUCUUUCUAGGUUUCUCCAAUCUUCUAUCUCUCUCAUCAUUUCUCCAGAUCAAGAUCAGCUGGUUAGGUAAAAGAAGGUUUAGCGUCAUAUUAAAGCCAUUAUCAGACACAACUCUUGAAGACUCAUCCACUGGUCUAAUUGAGAGCGUUUACGGAUAAGUCUAUUUGAAAAGAGGAAGAAUAGAAGCAAGAAGUUCAUUUGCAGUAGCAAUUCUGAAGAACUCUUCCGUUUAGUAUGUCCUCAACCUUAUUUGGCACGGACACCAGGUCAUGUACUCAAUCAGCUUGCUUUUUGGAUGAUGUAUGGAUAUAUUCGCGACCAAUAUGUGCUGUUGACAACUAUCAAUAUGGCUAAGAGGUUAGCACACAAUGGCUCUUUAAGUGAUUAGCACUUGGGAUUUCAUCUAUGUUUGGUACUUCAUAUAUUACAUUAGUUAUUUCGGACGUUGAUAUUCUAUUAAACACGUAGAAUUGACAUUCUUUUUUCUUUCUAAUCCAAGCUGUACGUUCUGAUCUGUAGAUGCAAGACAUAAAGAAUUGAUGGGUGAUGAACUACUGCCACAAUCAUUCUUGAAUUCUUAUUAUUACUUAACUUUUUUACCUUUUUGAAUUGAAUAGUGUCUAAAGGGACAUGUAUGCCUCAUAAUGAAGACAAUGAACAAAAUGUAUAUCGUUUUUAGUGCUAUAAAAGAUCCUCAAACCCUAAUGUAUCACCAUCUCUAUUUACGACACCAUCCCAAGCUU